rnacentral:rRNA from 1 species
UACGUAGGGUGCAAGCGUUAAUCGGAAUUACUGGGCGUAAAGCGUGCGCAGGCGGCUUUGCAAGACAGAUGUGAAAUCCCCGGGCUUAACCUGGGAACUGCAUUUGUGACUGCAGGGCUGGAGUGCGGCAGAGGGGGAUGGAAUUCCGCGUGUAGCAGUGAAAUGCGUAGAUAUGCGGAGGAACACCGAUGGCGAAGGCGAUCCCCUGGGCCUGCACUGACGCUCAUGCACGAAAGCGUGGGGAGCAAACAGG